rnacentral:tRNA from 1 species
UGUCAAGGGAUGGGACUCGAACCCACGACCUUCCGCUUACCGGGCAGAUGCCAUGACCACUAGGCUACCCUGGAC